GUGCCAGGGGUUAAGCUGCGGCACCAUAGCACACUACUGGCGCAUAACUGGGGCCGCCUGCCCUUCGUAGGCGGCCCCUUUUAACCGCUAGCUACAGGC